UUAGCAUGGAAUAAUGGAAUAGGACGUGUGGUUCUAUUUUGUUGGUUUCUAGGACCGCCGUAAUGAUUAAUAGGGACAGUCGGGGGCAUCAGUAUUCAAUUGUCAGAGGUGAAAUUCUUGGAUUUAUUGAAGACUAACUACUGCGAAAGCAUUUGCCAAGGAUGUUUUCAUUAAUCAGGAACGAAAGUUAGGGGAUCGAAGACGAUCAGAUACCGUCGUAGUCUUAACCAUAAACUAUGCCGACUAGGGAUCGGACGAUGUUAUUUUUUGACUCGUUCGGCACCUUACGAGAAAUCAAAGUGCUUGGGCUCCAGGGGGAGUAUGGUCGCAAGGCUGAAACUUAAAGAAAUUGACGGAAGGGCACCACCAGGGGUGGAGCCUGCGGCUUAAUUUGACUCAACACGGGGAAACUCACCAGGUCCAGA
rnacentral:rRNA from 1 species